GGAGGGAGGUCGUAUCUUGGGCUGUGUCCCGGCGCCCUGUGCUCCGGGGCCUGCGAUGUUGGAUUCGUGCUCCCGGCCACACAGCUGCCU
rnacentral:pre_miRNA from 1 species